UACGUAGGUGGCAAGCGUUAUCCGGAAUUAUUGGGCGUAAAGAGCGCGCAGGUGGUUGAUUAAGUCUGAUGUGAAAGCCCACGGCUUAACCGUGGAGGGUCAUUGGAAACUGGUCGACUUGAGUGCAGAAGAGGGAAGUGGAAUUCCAUGUGUAGCGGUGAAAUGCGUAGAUUUAUGGAGGAACACCAGUGGCGAAGGCGGCUUCCUGGUCUGUAACUGACGCUGAGGCACGAAAGCGUGGGGAGCAAACAGGAUUAGAUACCCU
rnacentral:rRNA from 1 species